GGCUUGUUGUUGGGUGGGGCCAGUCUCUAGGGUGGGCUGCCUGCCCUGGCUGAGCUGGAUUAAAUCGGUGCUCUAGCGGGUGGGGCAGACCCUGGGCUAGCUGGCCUCAGGGAGAACUCCAAUGGCGUCUGUGUCAGCACGCUCACAUCAGGCCACAACAAUGGCCGCCGCCAAUGUCCCAGUCCCUGGAGAGGUCUCACCCCUUGCUGAGAUGCACUCAGGGCCUAUUAGAUGAGGAACAGAACAAUGGUGUUGUCUCCAUUCGCCAAGUGACUCUCAAACGAGUUAAUCCAGAUAAUUUACACCAAGCUGUUAAAGGAAUUUAUGAAUGCUUUGAAGAUCCAAACCACAGGCUAAACUACUUCAGGCUUAUACUGAACAUGUGUAUCGACCUCCCAUCCCCCCAGAGAGCCCAGUGAGAUGACAACAUAGAAGCACAAAGAGGAAUAAACUCAUUCAACAAAGAACACAAGGAACCGGGAUAUCAGGAGACAAGAAAUUUCAACAAAUUUCCAGAGGACAAGAAGCAGAUGGAUAAGGCAGCAAAGGAAGCUGGAGCUCAGGUUAGAAUUGUCGGGGAAACUGUAAAAGGGAGCCACUGCCCCUACGGAGGCCCUGAGAGUCUUGGUCUCAGAAAUGGCAGGUACGUGGGCAGAAGGGAGAAAGAGGCGGGAAAACAGAGGGAAUGAUUGAAUGUGAAUCUAGGGGACAGCUGUGCCAGUCACCUCUCUCUCACCCCCUUCCCACUCCCUCCAGAGCACGUGGAAGGCCAACACUGCCACUAUUGAAAAUUACCAUAAAGGACGUUUUCUCUAAAGAAACUGCAUCCACACUGUAACAUGUAACCAGUUUAUCUGGGAAGGUGGACAUCUUCUGUCAUCGACACUCCAUUAUAGAGUACUCUUCCUGGCAUCCUGGAGCCAGGAUCCACUCCAACCCAGUUGUCCCGUGCCAAGCCUUCUCAAAGCACCUGUGAAGGAACAGUUCCUUUUCUAAAAAAAUUUUAAUCCAUUGCAGAGUCGUAUUUUUUUUUUUUCCUGUGAUGAAGACUAGCCCUGAGCUAAUAUCCACUGCCAAUCCUCCUCUUUUUGCUGAAGAAGAUUGGCCCUGGGCUAACAUCCAUGCCCAUCUUCCUUCACUUUAUAUGGGACACCGCCACAGCAUGGCUCAACAAGCGGUGCAUCAGUCUGCACCCAGGACCCGAACCUGUGAACCCCAGGCCACCGAAGUGGAGUGCAUGAACUUAACUGCUGCGCCACCAGCCCAGCCCCUGUAGACUGUUAUUUUUUAAAAUACAAUAGAAAUGAAUUACUAGAAAAAUUAAAUUUUAAAAGCAAAGACAUACAAAGUACAAGCCCAAAUGUCUUAUUAUUAAAUCCACGAGACACAGAUUGCAUUUCAAUCACUGUAAUCAGAACAAACUUAAAAUAGGAAAAAAAUUACAAAAAUGGUAGACAUUUAUUGAAAGUGUGCAUACAGGUAUAUAAAACAGGAUUAUUACAUUAAUAAGUUUUUGUCAUUCUGCAAUUAUAACUAAACAAGAGGUUAUAAAGGAAAUAGGAGGGCCGGCCCUGUGGCUUAGCGGUUAAGUGCACACACUCUGCUUCUGGUGGCCGGGGUUCGGAUCCUGGGCGCGCACCAACACACUGCUUCUCUGGCCAUGCUGAGGCCGCGUCCCACAUACAGCAACUAGAAGGAUGUGCAGCUAUGACA